rnacentral:lncRNA from 1 species
GCCCCGGGGCCCCUCGCAAGGCGGCUGCGUCCUGCAGAGCGGGGCCCGGCCGGGGUGGGGUGCGAUAAGCCCUUGUCGCCCGCUGUCCCCGCUCGGCGGUGUGUGCCACGAGCCCCCGGGAGCCCAGCGCCGCUCCACGUGCGUCUCAGCCCCGGCCGGCGAGAGGUUCAUAGCAGGCCCAGGCGCAUGGGUGGAGGCGGUAGCUGUCUGAAGUAGCCAAGAUCUUCAGUUGAUAUCGCUAAUUACCAUCUUAUGGUGCCAAAGUUUGCAAGCCUCUGUGCAGCACAGAAUGAAAUGACAUAUUCCCUGCCCCGAGGAGUUUACAAUCUGAGUGGAUCUGACAACACGAGGGUGUGACAGGACACCACGGGGUUGCAGCAGCAGGAUCAUGCUGUUGAGGACUUAACUUACUCCAGGACUACAGAUGAGAGAAAGCAACAGCUCCAGAGGCCUCUUGGGAUGGCAGGAUGGAUCUGACAACGCAAGGUGUGACAGAAUGCCACAAGGUUGCAGCAACAGAAUCCCGGGAUCCAGUGCCCAGACAAAGGAAAUGUCUUCUUCCAUAAUCCCCUUAGGAAAUCACCCACAGAAGUCCUCCUG